UACGUAGGUGGCAAGCGUUGUCCGGAAUUACUGGGCGUAAAGCGCGCGUAGGCGGACCUGCAAGUCGGGGGUGAAAGCCCGAGGCUCAACCUCGGAACUGCCUUCGAUACUGCGGGUCUCGAGUCCGGGAGAGGUGAGUGGAAUUCCUAGUGUAGAGGUGAAAUUCGUAGAUAUUCGGAAGAACACCAGUGGCGAAGGCGACUCACUGGACACGUAUUGACGCUGAGGUGCGAAAGCGUGGGGAGCAAACAGG
rnacentral:rRNA from 1 species